CUGGGUUAGGAAGGUGUCUGCAUGGAGCCGCAGGAGCUGCUCUAGAGCCUGAGUGCUUUUGCUAAGCGCCGCUGCUGAGUUCUGGUUAGAUAGAGUGGCGGCGGGCAGCGACUGUCAAUCAGGUGGCUUAUUUACAUAUCAUCACCCGCCCCCCUCCGGCCCUGCCAGCUCCGGGUUGCUUCAGUCAACCAGCGGCCGCAGGCUCUCAGCUCUCAGCCAGGGACCACUCUCCGCAGCCCCUCUUUCUCUUAGUUCCUCCUUUCCGUUUUCAUUUGGUUUCAGCAUCGCGGUGCUUCAUCUGAAACGGUUAAAUGCCGCUGCGAAUUUUCUCUUUCCCUUUCCUUCGCCGCCUGCCUUGCUCUGUACACCGCAUUAUCUCCCCCCCCCCCCCACACACACACACCUCUCAGUUCUUGCCCUUUCUCUUUUAAUUGCCUCUCGUUCCCUUCUCUCUGCCCUUUCUUCCCUCAGUCUGAGCGAUUCUGUUUUGCAGGGCUGCAGUUUCCCGCUGCCGCACACUGCCGUUCUUCCUGGGAGCCCCUUUUGAAACAUCCUUUAGAACGAUGCAAUGCACCGGGGAAGUGUGCAAACAAUAACCGACGCCGAUGCUACUCCUAAAAGAGUCUUAACUCCACUGAAUGCCUCAAAGUGAGAAACAUUGGGAGUGCACUAUCCAACACAACUUAAUGCUCGCCAUUUCUAAAUAAAUCUGACACAAUUGCAGAUUUCUCGUCAAACCUCUUCGACUGGCUAUUUCUAUCAUGGUCUAGAUUUGAUUCCACAUACAUUUAAAAUAAAUGAAUAAUGAACAAA